ensembl:lncRNA
CCCGCCAAUGACCUCGGCUUGGAGGGGGCGGAGCCGUCCAAUCCGCGGUAGCGAGGCCCGGCCCGGCCCCGAGAGCGAGCCAAUGGGAAGCGACUCCGGCGGGGGCUCCCGCCCCGUCCCCUAGGGACCGGCUCUGCAGAGCCCCGGGGGGCCUGACCCCGCCGGGCGCUAGUCUGGUCCAGGGGACGGUGUCGCAAAGUCGAUGUGGUGCCUAAAUUGCGGGGAUCAGAGGAGCUGACGUCAACGAGAUCGCCGGACACACUUUGGUAGGUCGUCAAAAUCCCUACCCUCCACUUCAGAGCCUUUCCUGGCCAAAGUCUGCGCCUGAAAGUGGCCGAAGACGUCUAACACUGUGAAGUGUCCAAGCAGUGAGCGAGGCCUUCCCAGCUGGGCCGCCGCUUCACAGCUCGUCCAAGGGCAUCUUCGCUCCUCAGCACGGUGAGCAGGCCGGAUCCGAAGCGCAGAAAGUCUACGUGAACUGAGUCAUGGUUCGAACCUCAAACCAUCUUCUUGGUUCUUGCCCCUUCUUCUCACAGAAGCGAAGGAAAUUCCUGUCUGCUUUCCACAGAGAGCUCUUCAGCCACUGUUUAGGAUGCUUGUACCCUUCUAGGGCAAUCGUGCCCUCUGAGCCACUUGGAUAACCCGGUACUUGAUUGUUAUAGUUUGCAGCUAGAAGAUCCUGGGAACCAACUAAGUCUGACUCUUUAAUCCAAAAGGAAAACUGAGGAAAUCCCCAGACUAUGUGAAUUUUUUAUUUAUUAACCACUGUCCAAAGCAUGGGUCAAAGCAGUACUUAAGAGUAAUUUGGAGACCUAGACCUUAGGCCAUAAACCCAGCCUCACCUAACUAGGUUAAUUAUCUUUUGAUCACCACUUAGCCUUUCCAUUUUCUGUACAAUGUGAAUAUAACCUAUGCUAUUAAAAGCACACAUAAUGGUCUGCUAGUCAUAUUCACACAAAUGAGCUGCUUCCAUUUUUAUAAUGAUACGCUGAGAGAUAGAUAGAACAUACGUAAUUAUUAUCAUCUUUAUUUAAAAGCCGAGAGGAUUUAGUGGCCUAGUUGAGUUCCCUGUAAGUAACAGAGUUCAAGAUGUCUUUUAAUGUAAAUACAACACCAAGUGUACCUCCUCUUCCUUUGAAGGAAAAGUCAUGAGACUUUAAUGACAUGCUUGUGAAAGUGCUUUCCUAAUAAAGAAAAAUAAAUAAAAAUCAAACACUUAUUAUUGCUAUAUUUAUUUUCAGAUAACUUUGGAAAGAAAUCAAACUACAUGCAAAUGCUUUGGUUAGAGUUCAGGUAAUUUCCACAAAUGGCACUAUACAUUAUAAAAUAACACUUUACAUAUUAGGGUUCAACAUUACAGAGUUUUUCAGUUCUAGCAUGCUUCUUUAAUUAUUUCAGGCUUGCUUUUUGUAUCCAUCUUAUUUAUUAUCAAAUGGUAGUAAUCCAAACAUUUAUUUAGCUAAUACCUUAAACACACACACACACACACCCUUUCCUUUUUACAUAGUUACUAGUAAUGAUAUUUUCCUUGCCUGUGAGUAUUAGCAACACAACCUGCAAGCCUAACACAUUUACUUUCCUUUUAUCCAGGAUAUUACCUUAAUAGACCUCCUAGCGCAUUCUACAGUGGGCCCGAUAUUUUCCUGAAGUUGUACUGAAAAUUAACAAUGAAUUAGAUCUAAAAAUCUCUGGCUUCAAAUGCUCAAAAAUGAGACUUCCUCAAAUCAUUCAUAUUCCAGAUACCUAAUUCCUUUUGUAACUUUCCACAUAAUCUUCUCCAUAAUUUUCAUUCAUUUCUCAAGCUAUGAAAUUCACAAUUAAACACAUUUUCUAUUGAGUUUUCUGGUGUGCUGAGUCAAACAGUUUUAAAUGAUAAAUUACUUCAUCAAAAAACAAGCAAGCAUUCGGCAGGCACUAUCCUCUUACCAGAUCUUCCCUAGAAUCUGUGGGACCCAGCGGCACAGUUGUUCUCAAAACAUACAAAAAAUAAUCUAUAUCAUCAAUUGCUGUGACAAUCAUAAAAUAAUUUCAUUGAAUAUCCAUUAUACUUGCUUUCAUAAAACUGCCAUCUAUAUUCCCCUGGCUAAUAUUCAUGUUUUAGCACGCUAGGGUCCCAGCCCCCAUUUUAUCAUACCCAAAUACUUUACAGUUGUCACUUCUCAACAUAUUUAUUUUUAAAUAAGUUCAUGCUGAUUUUUUUCCUAUAAAAUUGCCAUUUUUCAUCAAAACAGUAUUCACAAAAUUCAAGUAAAAUCACAACCUUCCUCAUAAUUAACUGCAACAAUUUUUCAAAAGCAAAAGUCUUGGGCUGAGGAUUCAGCUCAGUGGUACCGUGCCUGCCUCAUAAGCACAAGGUCCUGAGUUUGAUUCCCGUACAAAAAAAACAAACAGGAAGUCUUUCAGCCAUUUCUGCUUUUACUUUCUGUUUGCAAAUAAGUAAGCAAUACACUUAUUGUUAAUAAAAUCUGAAAUAUAUAAUAACUAAUACAUGUCUGUAUUUAUUAUUUAUGUAUUAUUAUCGGCUUGCCCCUCAGCUGUGAGAUGAAGUUUCAUUUUCUUUAGUCAUUCUCUCCACACCUCCAUAGAUUUGAUCAUGAUAUUAUUAUUAUUAUCAGUUUUGCUAGCUGUAAUUUAGAAAUAAUAGAUUUGCUUUUCUGUCUCUUGUCCAGUAAAUUUGAGCCAGUUUCUUGACAUCCUUCCUGGUGGUAUCGGCUGUGCUCAAUGUAUGACUGAAACUCUCCUCACUACCCAAAGCCUCCUAACUCUGCUUACUUGCUUCCCUGGGAAGAGGACAGUACGAUCUACUGUGUGUAAACCACUCUAUUGUAUUUUAAAGGCAUCUUUGAUAUUUUUAAUCUACACCUUUUAGUUCACUUGAAUGUAUCUCAGAAAACAAAACAAAAAUGAUGAGGUAAAGUUCUGUGACAAUUCUAAGUAUGUUACUCAGAAGAAGCCUUUUAAACAUACCUAACUUUUUAAAAAUGUGAUAAAUUCCCCCAGUCCCGUACUUAUAUUUUUCUCUACCCAUCUGAGAAAGGUUUUGAGAUGUUAUACCUGGUGAAUCAGAUUCCUCUUCCUCCAUGAAAAUGAAACAUAGCAAUAGUCUUCAUACUGCCUUCACUACACGAGUUGUGUUCGGUUCAUCAUACCCAGCAUUGAAGUAUGCUCAGAAUAUGAGAUCUGAUCAAAAUAUAUGAUGAAAUGUAUAAAUUGAAAAAAUUGAUUACAGAAAAGACACACUAUUUUUAAUACCUCCCAAAAUGCUCCCCUUCACUUCAAACACACUUAUCCCACCAUUCUUGCC